UCAACCAAGUAACAAAGGACUUCAGUUCAAAGCCAAGGGGGGAAUGAAAAGAGCGUGACCUGCACUCUGUCUUCAGAUGUCCCCACUUAGAUGUGUGUACGGGUGUGUUUCAUCACAUAAACUUCAUUGUGAGAGCAGCUUUUAUAGAGACGGGACUGAGGUUCAGUGGCCUCCACCUCCGUCUAUUGCGUUUGGUGUAUCGCACCACAGAUUCCACAUGUUCAGCAGUUCAGAGGUUAACUAUUUGCAGAAGUAGCAGAGCUGGAGGAGGGCACCGUCUCUCAGACAGCCAGUCAUCAAAAGUGUGUGAUGUCCAGAGUCCUGAUUUUAAGGUUGUGUGUUCAUACCGAGCAUGUUUGGAGAAGUUUGCUUGACCUCUGUACUGCAGCCUUUACCUCUUUAAUUUAGUUCAACUUAACUAAAUGAUGCACUUAUUCAGCUAUAUUUUCAUGUAUUCUUUACUCAAGUGAAGACCGGAUACAAUUACAACAACUGAACCUGAAAUUUGAGUUUAAAUUGCCGCAAAUUAACAACAAUCUUUCUCGGCUUAAGUUACAACACUGCAAUUGGAUUUGUUUCAAUUCUUCCAGAGUACUGAUAUUUGAGAUUUAAGUUACAUUUGAGUGCUUAUAAUCAACAUUACAUGUAUGUGAAAGGGUUCACUUGAAGUGACGAACCUGUAGAGAAUUACCACCAAAUUCUCCGACAGCUGACAGACAGCAUGAAGCAGAAGCAGCAUUGCACGCUGUGCGUCCAUGUCAUGGCGCAGCCCCUGCGGCAAACCAUUUCUGAUUCUCCGGGCUUUCUAAUCAUGCAUCCAUCAGACGGCUGAAGCGGAGGACAGGCGCCGAGAGAGGAGAAAUGGAGGAUGUAGGAGGGGGAGGAGGAAUGUGUUUGGUAAAUCUGCAGGGGGGGUGAGAGGAGCAGUGAUGUGGAGGAAGAGAAAAAGAAGGAGAGGAAGGUGAGGAGAGGGAAACAAAGGAGAAAGAGGAAGAAGAAAGGGAAGAAGAGGAGAAAGAAAGGCGGAAGAGAGUGAAGGGGUUAAAAAGUGUCCUAUCCACGCACACCGCAGGCUCAUGAAUCUUAACUGUGGGAUAUCUGGAAUUCAGACUCAAUCACCCAACGGAAAUUACCAGAGAAAGGGGGGAGAGAAGGCUAAAAAUGUAAAAAGGACAGUUCAUACUGCCUCUGUGCUUUCUCCGGAAAAAAUACUUGGGACAUGUUUGAUAGUUGCAUUGACCUUGUCUUAAUUCUUACACCAAAAAAAGCAGAAUCAUCUUGGGUAUUCUGUUUCAAGGAAUUAAGACAGAAGUUGAUCCCAAUAAAACUAUCUUUCCUGCUUCA